CCCCCGGAGGAGUUUCAGGGAAGAGUGGAGGUGGCACUCAGGGUCUGACUGACCCGGUGCUCGGUCACAGGCGGGACUCGAUGAUCCCAGAGGACUUUUCCAGCCUGAUCGGCUCUGUGUUUCUGUUAACUAUUUCUGAUUUGUGGAGUGUACCCUGAGUUAAAGCGUCUCCACCCGUGGCUUUGCACCCCAGGCUCCUGGCCACAUUCAGGUCUGGGGCCCUGGGAAGCAGGCAGGUUCCAGAGGCCAGGCAUUGCUCCUCAGCUGGGCUGUCAUUUCUGUCUUGGCCAGCUAUUUUCCCUGUUUUUUUUCCUGCAGACACUUCCCAGCAGUGCUUGGGCUUCCCUGUGCACUGUGGUGACACCCAGAAACCCCGGUGACCCUGCCUGCCAUAAAUACCCCCCAGCCCCCUGCAGGCAGAUCACCACCCUGGUUUUUGCUUUCUCUUUGGUUUUUAAACCAGCUCUGUAUGGCCUCGCGAUACGUGCUUGUGUAUGAAAUCUUGUGUAACGCACCACUGAAUCCUCACACACACCUGGAGUCAAGCUGCAGGCCAGUCAAACAGACCAGUGCCCUGUUGCCGUGAGGAGAGGGGUGCGGGGAAUUCAGGGUGCUGCUGAAUUCCAGUCUCAAGAGGCAGAUGGGUGCAGCCUUGCCUGGGAUGGGCAGGGUGGUCCUCAUCCCUCCUGCCUGAAACUCCCUGUAAAUUCUCUGGGAUUAACCAGGUGACCACCAGGAUGUGUCCAUUUGGGGGUGGGAUGGCUCACCUCUGCCUCUGCCUGUUCUUUGGCUUUUAAGAAAACCAAAAAUGCAAAGACCCUGUGAAUUUUACAUCCCAAUCCACUGGGAGCAUCCCUUUUCAUUUUGUACCACCAGACAGUACAGGGCUCACUGCAUGCUGCCUUCUUGACAUCAGGGAAGAGGCUCCUCUUAAUGCCCUGGAUCCACCAGGAAAAAAGUCCUGGAUUCACUCCAGAACUUCAGCAAAAUCCUGAUGCUUUUCUCUAAGCAUUGAUGGCAGUUUGCUGUUACUUAAAUGCAAGGUCAGCCCCACUCCUGUCCUUCCACUGCUAAUUAAAAUGCUUUAAUUUAAACCUGUUGCUCUCUUCCUACACUCAGCUCUGCUGUGAUGCCACAUCCAAUACCUGCAAGCCAAACACAAACCAGGUAAUCACUGGAUAGGGCUGAGCCAACUUUUGUCCUUUGAAAGGAUAAUUAUAGGCAUGACUUUCAGGGUAACAAGCAGAGAUAACUUUUUAUCUGCCAGCAAUAAAACUAAAUUCCAGUUACCUGUCUCGCUGCGUUGGAACCAGGAGAUAACACUCCCUCCUUCCCUGCAUUUUAUGGAAGGAAGGGAACAGUCAAUACGGAGCACUGGUGGUGUCAGUCACUGUCACUGAGGAGCACACAGGCAAGCUGCUCCUGCAGCUCCUGGUGGCACUGCCAGGGAUGCAAAGGGAGCCCAUCCACCUGCACCAACAUUUCGGGUUAAGUGGACACAGAAGCUGCAAAGAGAGGUCUAAAUGCCCCAAAUGGAAAAGAAUCUUUUGCUCCCCCAGUGCCUGAUGUCACCGUCCCAGCCAGGGGGUUCAGCAUCUUCCAGGAACCCGGGGCUGCAUCACAAAGGAGCAGCGGGACAGAGGCACCAAACCCAAGCCACUGCCUGGUUUUGUGCCUCAUGUAUCAACUGCCUCGUAAAUAUGCCUCGUAAAUAAAAUAUAUAAAUACUGUAGUAGUGAUUUCUUUUGGUCUCAUGGACUGAGAAGCUUACACCAGUGCAAGAUGCUGCCAAAAGUACUGGUCUUGUCUGCUGCCUUAGUCCUGCCCUUCUCCCAUCCCAGGUUUGGCUCGGCACUGGCAGUUUUUGGCUAGGAGAGUUGGCUUUUGGAUGGGCUCAUUCCAGGGGGGUGGUGACAAGGGGAGGUGGAAAAGCUCUUCUGAAGACCCAGCAUCACCUUUUCACCUCACUCAUUUAUUUCUUCCUUCGCUCUCCUUACUAAGUUUCCCACUGAGGACAUUUAUUUUCCCUCUCCUUUGUUUUUAAUCCACUUCAUUUAUUGCCAGUGAACUGAUUUGUUUGAGCUGAGAAGGGUCAACAGAUAAAGGAAAUCUGUGUGUUUAUGGGGAAAAGACAGUGCAGAUGCCAAGAGAAUAUAGCUGGGAGUCAACUGGAAAGCCAAGGGCAGUGAGUGACUGGCAGCAGUAAAAGGCCACCUCUGGGCCCCCUUGGUUGGGGCGCGGUUGCACCUGAGCUCUUCCGGCUCCUGUUUGUCCAGGAGUGCAGCAGCUGCCCGGCACAUUCCCGGUUGCUCCGGAGCUUUGUUUCCUGACCAACACCCAUUUGCAGCAUUUCCCAAACAAGCGGAGGCUCAUCAACAUCGCUCCCACUCCCUCUUCCCCUUCCAAUUAUCCCUGCGGGCUGGGGAGCAGCCGAGUCCGAACAAUCCGUGCUCGGGCAUCGGCCGGGCAGGACGUGAAGCAUUAACGAGUUUAAUAACACCAAACAGAUAAAGGGUUUCAAAGGGCAUCAUUAAAAAAUAUCCCUGUGGCACCGGUCUGUGAUACCCCAGGGCUUCAACAUGAGGUGCAGAAACCUAUGACUGCCUUCUUCUGAAAUCCUUCCCAAUUGUUUAAAAAAUUAUAAAAAUCCACAUUUCAUUUCAUUUUAGUUCAGUUUAGUUUAAGAAACAGAGUUCUUCCUGCCCAUGUUGUGCUCACACAGCCAUUGUUCAACUCCACAUGGUUCAAUGCUGGAACAAAAUAAAAUAUUAAAUUAAAUUAAAAUAAGCAAA